UACGUAGGGGGCAAGCGUUGUCCGGAAUUAUUGGGCGUAAAGAGCGCGUAGGCGGUCCGGUAAGUCAGCUGUGAAAGUCAAGGGCUCAACCCUUGAAAGCCGGUUGAUACUGUCGGGCUAGAGUCCGGAAGAGGCGAGUGGAAUUCCCGGUGUAGCGGUGAAAUGCGCAGAUAUCAGGAGGAACACCAAUGGCGAAGGCAGCUCGCUGGGACGUGACUGACGCUGAGACGCGAAAGCGUGGGGAGCAAACAGG
rnacentral:rRNA from 1 species